UCCUCGAUGGCUCAGUCGGAUAGAGCAUCUGCCUUGUAAGCAGGACAUCCCGGGUUUGAGUUCCGGUCGGGGCA